rnacentral:tRNA from 1 species
GGGGAUAUAGCUCAGCUGGGAGAGCACCUGCCUUGCACGCAGGGGGUCAGGGGUUCGAAUCCCCUUAUCUCCACCA